CUCAAAAUAAAAUACCAAGAAAUCCCUAAAAAAAGACAUCCCAUUCGGCCUUUCCCCAGCAAAGUCAAUGUCCUCUCUCCAAAAUUCCUCCAUACAUCUCUCUAUUAAAUUCAAUAGGCGAUUUACCUUCUCCCUUCCCUCACGCCUCUCUUAUCUCCUCUCCUUCAUCAUUUCCGCACAAACCUAAUCUAAAUUACCCGAGCCCUAGUAAAUCGACUCAAUGCGAGCAUUUUAAGAAAAAACCAUAAGUCUACUCUCUGCCUCAAGGCCUGCAAUCGUUGAUACAAUGGGUCGAUCAGAUUCUGAGCCUAUGUGUUCGACUGACUAUUAUUGUGAAUCGUUGCUUUUAGCGGCUGAUGCAGGCAAAUGGGUUUAGGUUUUUCUCUACUAGCGUAAUUAUUUUGAUCGUUUCUUGCUCUUCAAUGGCUCGAAGAGAAUCAAAAUUGAAGCAGCAAAUGGAGAAAAUAUGAGAUAGUUGAUUUUUCUCAUACGAUUUGGGUGAAUUUAUUCUAGGGGAGAUAUUAACUUGACGAUUAUGCUUGUGUAUAGCUACAAUGGAACAUAAAUCGACAGUUCAGAGUAAGUUUCAUUUUCCCUGGCGGAUACUCUGUGAAAACUCUUACCUUUAUAGGCUAAGAAAAUAAGAAUCCACAAUUACCUAAUCUAAAAGGGAAAGCUAACUUUUUCUUGUGCUAGGUAAAAAUGAGAAACUCUAGCUUUUCUAGUUAUCGACACAUUUUUUCCCUACUAAAUCUUGAUCCAUUAGUUAUAGGUAGAGCUCAAUAAACACAUAAUUAUGGUUUUAUGACUAUUUGAGACUAGUUACAAUGAUGUUCCCACACCUAAUUGACCAUUUCAAUAUUGCGGGUUAUGACGAGGUAGUUUGCCUUCUUAGUUUUCAUCUGUUUUUAGAAUGAAAAAGCAUAUAAUGUACCAAUUUCUAUUUGCUUAAAGGAGAAACUCUCUGGAACAUACAAUAUCUUGAUCGAUCAUCUCAAAAAAGUUUAUGGUAUUUUUGCACAAGGGAUGACUUGUUAACCUACAGUGUCAUGGUUAGUCGUGGUCUUGUAUAAUUUGCUCAUUGGUAACUGCUUAGGUUUUAAUUUUUAUUCAACUUUAGUUUUUCAUCUCUCUCACUAGAUAUUGGUUGUGGCAAACUGAUGGCUUUACUUAAGGUGAAUAUUUUGCCGUAUAAUAGACAUAUUUGGUAUUUUAUCUCUGCUUCACCUUCUUUUUUUGGAAAAUAUAUUCAUUAUCUAAGCUUUUCUUCUGGUUUGAGUAGUCAAUUGAUAUGUUCUGGAUAUACUGAUAUUUAGGCUAAGAGUCAUAAAUUUAGGUGGUGGUUAUUGCAGGAAGGAUUUUAGUACUAUCAUACUAAAGCAACACACGUAAUUUUUGUCUAUUGGAUACGAGAUACCCGUCACACAUAGCCUACUAAUGCUUCUCAUUGUGUUGGUAUUUGGUGCCCUUGUUCUGAACAACAAUGGACAGGUCUAUAAAGUUUAAUUGAUGUUUCAUUUAAAUUAAGAAUAUGAUAGGUGAGAUUAGUUUGCCAUAACAUCCUAAGAGGAAUUGUCAUAACGUUUAAAGUCAUUAGCUUCUUGGUAUAAUCUUCCGUUAUUAUUUUAAGAAAUUAUGAUGAUCAUGUUUUCAAGUAAUGAAUUUAAUGAUUGUUUAGACUACUAGUUUGUCAGGAUGCAUAUAUGCUUAUGAAGAAAUAGUGAAUGCAAAAUUUUAAUUUGGGAGAAAUUACCUGAGACAUCAGUCAUUCACUCACAAAUGAAUUCUUUACCUUCCUUGUGGUUAGACAUUGUGCUACAUUGCAACUUUUCAUUUCCCCAUUCUUGCAAUGCUACCUUUUUUGUGGGAUUAUUGCAUCAUGGGAAUUCAAAUUGUCAUUUUCUCAUUUUAAAUGUCAAAUUCAUAUUGCUGUACAGGGUUCAGAUAGAAGCAUCAUUUGGGAAAUAUCGUCUCUGCUUAUAUGCUAAAUGUUUUAAUGCUACUGACCAUAAAAUCAUGAAAUAUCCUCUGUUAUACAAAUGCAUGAACUGCUAUGUCCCAAUUGCAUAUUAUAUGAGUAAGAAAAACGUAUGUAUUAUCCUCAAGAAAGCAGUAUAGUUUAUAGUUUAAACAAUAGUGAAAAUGCAGUUAAAGUAAAUAACAUGCUACCUGAUGUUAUUACAUAUGUUGAGAAAGGUCAAAUGGGAACUAAAUAAGCAAUCCUCAUACCAUGUUAGUUAAAUAUAACAGUUCUAGAUGAGUUCCUUUAGAAAAUCUUCGGACUCCUCUGCUCAUUUUGUAACUUGAAGUUUUGUAUGCACUGGGACUGUUAGCAUUGGUAGCGUAACCUAUAUAGUCCUGAUGUAAAAGGUUAUUCUCCUAAUCAGCUUACAUAAAUAGUUAAAUAUCUUUUGGUAUUU